rnacentral:tRNA from 1 species
UGUUCUGUGACUUAGUUGAUUAGUGCGCCGGACUAACGGUGCAGAGUCGUGGGUUCAAAUCCCACCAAAACAA